UCCUGAGUGACUGCAUGUUUUAAAUGACUUCGUUUCCAGCUUGCUGGUAUAAACUCUUGGAUCACAUGUUUAUUUCCAGAGAUCUUCACGGGACCUGACGCCAACACCUAGGGAGCCAGCCCCUGUACCGCACACUGAGGAGCACAUGACCCAGGCCUGGCCGGCAAGCCCUUACUUACCAAGAUUUUUACAUAGAAGGACAGCAGGAAAGGGGACUCCUGUCAUAUGGCCCCACUGAUGGUGUUUGCAGCCCAGACCACAAACCAAAGACUAUGGGAAGAAGUCAAUGUACAUGGAUCGAGGAAACUGGAGACUAACUCAUCUUUGUCAGCACAGACCAAAAUUCAAGUCGCCAAAAAGACGUGGGGGACCGUGUAGAGGACCACCCUGCCCAGACCCCACCCCCACGGAGUCUGAUUCAGUCCUACACAGAGCCCUGAAGUGCCCCCAGCACCGCAGGGGGCAGGAUGACCGAUCCCUUACCAACGUGAGGACCUCCCUGCCCGGGCCAGGCACGGUUCUGGGCACCAGGGCCCCAGUUUGAGAAGCUUCGGACCCUGUGUGGAUCUGCUCUGCUGUUCACACGCCCGAGACCAUCGGGAGCAGCUUCCUCUUGC